ACUCCCGGACCCACCCACGACUCCACCUCCGUCCAGGGCAGUGACCAAUAAGAUACGCAUCUCGCCUUCCCUGCCCAAUCAGAAGUCUUCUUCUCCGUCCGCCCCGCCCCCAAAGGCUGGGGCCGCAGACAGUCUAGGCCCCGGCUUUGGAAUGUGGGCGGGCUGUGCCAUGGACGUCAUCGGGGAAACCCCUCCCGCCGGAAAGCAGGCGGCAGCAGCUGUCUGCGGAGCGAACCAAUGGAGUGCUCGAGUCGGUGAUGGCCUGGUGUUGGGGCCAAUGAAAAUAGGGCUUCUCGGAGGGCCAGCCAAUCGAAUAGCGACAAGAAUACCUUUUUAUAAAAGGAGGAGGAUGAGCUCAGGCUCCCGGUGGAUACUCAAGAACUUAGCACACCGCAUCGAGAGGAAAAGGGAGUGCUCUGCGGGAAGAUUUGUAUAUUGUCCUAUUUUCAAGUAAAUUCGCUCAUUUGAGUGUUUCAGGAUUUUUAAAAAAUGAAUUACGUAUUAUACAGGGAAGCAGGCUGCCUGCUGUGAGUGACCCCACAGAGAGGCCUACAUAGCAAGAAACUAAGGAAGGUGUCCAGCCAAUAGCCAGCAAGGAACUGAGGCCCUCAGUCCAACAACCCAGAAGCACCUGAUUCCUACUAAUAACCGCAUAUGGAAGCAGACCAGCCCCAGAUCACUGCAACCUUCUAAGUGAAACUAAACCAGAGAACUCAGCGAAGUCACCCAGAUUUCUGACCUAUAAAAACUAAAGGUAAUAAAUGUAUGUUGAUUUAAGCUA